rnacentral:tRNA from 1 species
GGGGCCGUAGCUCAGCCUGGGAGAGCGCUAGACUGAAGAUCUAGGUGUCACGUGUUCAAAUCACGUCGGCCCCA